AGAGCGAACGCUGGCGGCAGGCUUAACACAUGCAAGUCGAGCGGGCGUAGCAAUACGUCAGCGGCAGACGGGUGAGUAACGCGUGGGAACGUACCUUUUGGUUCGGAACAACACAGGGAAACUUGUGCUAAUACCGGAUAAGCCCUUACGGGGAAAGAUUUAUCGCCGAAAGAUCGGCCCGCGUCUGAUUAGCUAGUUGGUGAGGUAACGGCUCACCAAGGCGACGAUCAGUAGCUGGUCUGAGAGGAUGAUCAGCCACAUUGGGACUGAGACACGGCCCAAACUCCUACGGGAGGCAGCAGUGGGGAAUAUUGGACAAUGGGCGCAAGCCUGAUCCAGCCAUGCCGCGUGAGUGAUGAAGGCCCUAGGGUUGUAAAGCUCUUUUGUGCGGGAAGAUAAUGACGGUACCGCAAGAAUAAGCCCGGCUAACUUCGCGCCAGCAGCCGC
rnacentral:rRNA from 1 species